rnacentral:ncRNA from 1 species
UGUCAUAAGAUUUCCCAAAAAUCAAUCUCAAUGAAGAGGGUGUUGAAAUCAAGGAAACAUUUGAGGGAAUUCCAUAACUUUUUCCCCUUCAAGCAAUAUCAAAGACAACAUGCACUCCUUUUCCUCCAACAACCUUCCAUCCAAAACCCAACAAAAUUCCAUAAGAAGUUUGAUAAACCCAACAACCUUCCAUCCAAAGUCAACAAAAUUGAAACCCAUUUUUGAGAGUUGUUGGUGCCUCAUCCUAUAACUGACGACCUCGUUAAGAAAUUCAGAGAUGUUGUCGAGGGCCCCGGGAAGAGUUAUCUUUUAUUUUUAACAACGUGCCCACCCUGAAAUCGACUCAACUAGAGAUAGGGUCCAGUAGCUGGAAGGACAUCGCACGUCUUGCGGUGUCUGAUGCACCCUUUACGGCCCUUGAAAAUCUGGAAGACCGAGUACCAUCCAUGCUCGGUCGUACUCAUAACCGCAUUAGGUCUCCAAGGUGAACAACCUCU